rnacentral:lncRNA from 1 species
GGAAAAAAAGGCCACAGAAAUGGCAUUGGCCCAUCUGAAGAAGCUCCCGUACCAGAAAGGAUAGGAAAGCCGAAGUCCAGAGGGCUCUGAAAGGAUGCAUUUAUCUGGCAGGCUGCAUUCUUCAGGCACCAUGAAUGAACCAGAUCAUGCUUGCUUUUUGCCCACAGAUCCACCUGGUCAAUCCAGUUGUCCCAGCUGAAUUGCAGAAGACAUGCAUCAGGAUAUCCAGCUGCUCGUUCUGAGACUUCCACUCACUGGCUGUGCGCGGUCACCUUCCUGCUCUGAGCAUCAAUCUCCUAGGAUCUGUAAAGAGGAAGGAACACUUCUAGGUCUAAAAACGCUGCGCUCCAUGCUCACCCAACCUGUGACUGAGUGUUUCUAUCUCUGGUGCACGGCCCUGUUUGGAGUCUCCAAACCCAACAGAUUCCUGCUGAGUGUUCCCACGCUGCUCCUUCCAGAGGAGAAAGAGGGGGGUCUCCCAGAUCUGCCACUUGUGGGGUCCCUGCCUGAAGAGUAGUGGCCUAACUGUGCC